ACAAAGGCUCUUUUCAGAGCCACUUCAACAAUCAUAAAAAGAUGA
rfam:Pan troglodytes isolate Yerkes chimp pedigree #C0471 (Clint) chromosome 6, whole genome shotgun sequence.